ACCAUCCUUUUCUUGGGGUUGCACUACUGUCCAGUGAGUGCAUAGUGAGGGCAGUACUGCUAACGCCUAAACACCACACUCGCAUCAGCUAAAGCUUUGCUUUACAUUGGUUCAAUUUUUGGAAAA
ensembl:snRNA